AUGACUUUAAGUUAAUAAACUAUAAACCUUCAAAGUUUAAAUUAUCAUUUAGAUAAGUCUUA
rnacentral:tRNA from 1 species